GAUGAAGAACGCAGCGAAAUGCGAUACGUAAUGUGAAUUGCAGAAUUCAGUGAAUCAUCGAGUCUUUGAACGCACAUUGCGCCCUCUGGUAUUCCGGAGGGCAUGCCUGUCCGAGCGUCAUUGCUGCCCUCAAGCACGGCUUGUGUGUUGGGCUCCGUCCCCCGAUCCCGGGGGACGGGCCCGAAAGGCAGCGGCGGCACCGCGUCCGGUCCUCGAGCGUAUGGGGCUUUGUCACCCGCUCUGUAGGCCCGGCCGGCGCUUGCCGAUCAACCAAAUUUUUAUCCAGGUUGACCUCGGAUCAGGUAGGGAUACCCGCUGAACUUAAGCAUAUCAAUAAGCGGAGG
rnacentral:misc_RNA from 1 species